GGACGAACGCUGGCGGCGUGCUUAACACAUGCAAGUCGAACGGAAAGGCCCUGCUUUUGUGGGGUGCUCGAGUGGCGAACGGGUGAGUAACACGUGAGUAACCUGCCCUUGACUUUGGGUUAACUUCAGGAAACUGGGGCUAAUACCGGAUAGGAGCUCCUGCUGCAUGGUGGGGGUUGGAAAGUUUCGGCGGUUGGGGAUGGACUCGCGGCUUAUCAGCUUGUUGGUGGGGUAGUGGCUUACCAAGGCUUUGACGGGUAGCCGGCCUGAGAGGGUGACCGGCCACAUUGGGACUGAGAUACGGCCCAGACUCCUACGGGAGGCAGCAGUGGGGAAUAUUGCACAAUGGGCGGAAGCCUGAUGCAGCAACGCCGCGUGCGGGAUGACGGCCUUCGGGUUGUAAACCGCUUUCGCCUGUGACGAAGCGUGAGUGACGGUAAUGGGUAAAGAAGCACCGGCUAACUACGUG
rnacentral:rRNA from 1 species